rnacentral:rRNA from 4 species
GAAUGCUGACAUAAGUAACGAUAAAGCGGGUGAAAAGCCCGCUCGCCGGAAGACCAAGGGUUCCUGUCCAACGUUAAUCGGGGCAGGGUGAGUCGACCCCUAAGGCGAGGCCGAAAGGCGUAGUCGAUGGGAAACGGGUUAAUAUUCCCGUACUUGGUGUUACUGCGAAGGGGGGACGGAGAAGGCUAUGUUGGCCGGGCGACGGUUGUCCCGGUUUAAGCGUGUAGGUGUGUGUUCCAGGUAAAUCCGGUUCACUUUAACACUGAGGCGUGACGACGAGGCACUACGGUGCUGAAGCAACAAAUGCCCUGCUUCCAGGAAAAGCCUCUAAGCAUCAGGUAACAUCAAAUCGUACCCCAAACCGACACAGGUGGUCAGGUAGAGAAUACCAAGGCGCUUGAGAGAACUCGGGUGAAGGAACUAGGCAAAAUGGUGCCGUAACUUCGGGAGAAGGCACGCUGACACGUAGGUGAAGUGAUUUACUCAUGGAGCUGAAGUCAGUCGAAGAUACCAGCUGGCUGCAACUGUUUAUUAAAAACACAGCACUGUGCAAACACGAAAGUGGACGUAUACGGUGUGACGCCUGCCCGGUGCCGGAAGGUUAAUUGAUGGGGUCAGCGCAAGCGAAGCUCCUGAUCGAAGCCCCGGUAAACGGCGGCCGUAACUAUAACGGUCCUAAGGUAGCGAAAUUCCUUGUCGGGUAAGUUCCGACCUGCACGAAUGGCGUAAUGAUGGCCAGGCUGUCUCCACCCGAGACUCAGUGAAAUUGAACUCGCUGUGAAGAUGCAGUGUACCCGCGGCAAGACGGAAAGACCCCGUGAACCUUUACUAUAGCUUGACACUGAACAUUGAGCCUUGAUGUGUAGGAUAGGUGGGAGGCUUUGAAGUGUGGACGCCAGUCUGCAUGGAGCCGACCUUGAAAUACCACCCUUUAAUGUUUGAUGUUCUAACGUGGACCCGUUACCCGGGUUGCGGACAGUGUCUGGUGGGUAGUUUGACUGGGGCGGUCUCCUCCUAAAGAGUAACGGAGGAGCACGAAGGUUGGCUAAUCCUGGUCGGACAUCAGGAGGUUAGUGCAAUGGCAUAAGCCAGCUUGACUGCGAGCGUGACGGCGCGAGCAGGUGCGAAAGCAGGUCAUAGUGAUCCGGUGGUUCUGAAUGGAAGGGCCAUCGCUCAACGGAUAAAAGGUACUCCGGGGAUAACAGGCUGAUACCGCCCAAGAGUUCAUAUCGACGGCGGUGUUUGGCACCUCGAUGUCGGCUCAUCACAUCCUGGGGCUGAAGUAGGUCCCAAGGGUAUGGCUGUUCGCCAUUUAAAGUGGUACGCGAGCUGGGUUUAGAACGUCGUG